UGUGCAUUGGUUGUAAAGUGCUAGGCU
rnacentral:piRNA from 1 species